GGAUGGGAUCAUACCAGCACUCAAGCAUCGGAUCCCAUCAGAACUCCGAAGUUAAGCGUGCUUGGGCGAGAGUAGUACUAGGAUGGGUGACCUCCUGGGAAGUCCUCGUGUUGCAUUCC
rnacentral:rRNA from 1 species